CCUACGGGAGACAGCAGUGGGGAAUAUUGCACAAUGGGGGAAACCCUGAUGCAGCGACGCCGCGUGAGUGAAGAAGUAUUUCGGUAUGUAAAGUUCUAUCAGCAGGGAAGAAAAUGACGGUACCUGACUAAGAAGCCCCGGCUAACUACGUGCCAGCAGCCGCGGUAAUACGUAGGGGGCAAGCGUUAUCCGGAUUUACUGGGUGUAAAGGGAGCGUAGACGGUAGCGCAAGUCUGAAGUGAAAUGCCGGGGCUUAACCCCGGGACUGCUUUUGAAACUGUGGAGCUAGAUUGCAGGAGAGGUAAGUGGAAUUCCUAGUGUAGCGGUGAAAUGCGUAGAUAUUAGGAGGAACACCAGUGGCGAAGGCGGCUUACUGGACUGUAAAUGACGUUGAGGCUCGAAAGCGUGGGGAGCAAACAGGAUUAGAUACCCGAGUAGUC
rnacentral:rRNA from 1 species